CUCUCUUGUAUUGAAUACCAAAAUCCAAUAUUGAUAAAUAACAUUUUGACAGCUUAAGUCUUCAGUGAAGAUAUCAACCAUGUCUUUCAAUAUUUUACUGCAAGUACACGACUGAUAAGACGGUUACAUUGCUUUCCAAGGAAAAACCCUGAGUUCAAUGGAAGGAUCAGGACUACCAAUAUUCAAGGGAUGUCCUCAAAACCAAUGCAAUGUUAUAGGAAAUGAUUUGUGCUUAAUUUGUAAGCAGCUUUUCUUUGCAAAAAGUACUGAGAAAAUAUGCACAAACUGUGAAUUGACAAGCCUUAGAUCCAUUGUCGGUCAAACACAUAUGCAACAGGAUUUAUAUGAGAGUGUAGAAGAAAGGCUGAAAAUGAAGAAACAUCACAGAUAUGGAUGUGAUUUGUGUGGAAAAAUGUUCCAAAAUACAUCCUUCCUGAAAAUCCACCAGAGAACACAUACUGGAGAAAAACCAUAUAAUUGUGAAAUUUGUAACACAGCUUUCUCACAGUCAUCAUCCCUGAAUACCCACAAACAACUUAAACAUUCCAACCAAAAGCCAUAUAAUUGUAAUAUAUGUGGGAAAACAUUUGCAAUAAAAAAUUAUCUUACUGUGCAUUUACGCACCCAUAGCAGAGAAAAGCCAUAUAAAUGUAACUCAUGUUUAAAAACGUUUACACAAAAAUCUUCACUAACAACUCACGUAAAAAUGCAUCAGUAAAAUGUAGUUAGAAAUAAUGACAUAUAUUAUAGAUAUACAUUUAUAUGAACAAUAUAUAGCAGAAAAAUUAAACAAUGAUAGUUCAGCAGAUAAAUGUACAGAAAAUUGAUGGGACAAAAAAAUCACAGUUAUUUCGUUCAUCGUUUAAAUAUAUAAAUUAAAAGAAAAAAUUCUUGAAAUCUUUUGAUUUUAUUUUAAGCAAAUUGUCCAUUAACAUUCUAAAAUGAAGAUGUAUCAAUUUUUUAUCAUACAAUAAAUAUAUUUCCUGAGACGCACCAUUGAGCAAUUGAAUUAACAGGCCAUUUUGACAGCUUAUUAUUUUAAGAAUAUUUUGAUCAUAUUGAAAGUUUUGACAAUUGUUUUUUUUUAUGCCCCCUCUGCUAGGCGAAAGGGGUAUUUACAUGUAGUGUUACCCUUGACCUUCUGUCCCUCUUUCCGUCCUUCUGUUCGUCCCAUUUUUGGUUUCCACACUCUAACUUAUAGUUUUACUAAUUCAAAUCUUAUGAAACUCAUGCACAUGGAUAAGAACCACAACACGCAGACAUAGUUUAAAUUUGCUCCUUUAUAACUUGGAAAAUUGCAAAAUUUUUCGUUUCCGCACUCUAACUUAAGUUUUCCUAAUGAUUUGAUUUUUGAUUUUUGGUGUUUUAAUGCCACUUUUAAGCACCGCUUUUGGGCUAUUUCGUGGCGGCCAGUUUUUAUUGGUGGAGGAAGCCGGAGUGCCCGGAGAAAACCACCGACCUUCGAUAGGAAAACUGACAAUCUUAGUCAAUUAAGAUUGGAUUUGAGUGCACCCGCACGAGCGGGGUUCGAACUCACAACCUCAGUGUUGACUGGCUAGUGAUUACAGUAGUAACUACUUAGACCACUCAGCCACCGAGGCUCCCGGUUUUCCUAAUGAAGAUUUUAUGAAACGCAUACACAAUGCUAAGAACCACAACACACAGAGUUUAAAUUUGGGCAGUGAGUCAUUUACUGAUAUACAUGCAGGUAUGUCCCUAUUUAACUUUGAAAAUUGCAAAGCAUGAGCAGAGGCAUUCGUAUCCUCAGACACAUUCUUCUUUUUAUGCCCACCCCGCUAGGCAAAAGGGGCCUUAAGUGUAACCCAUGACCUUCCAUCCAUCUUUCUGUCUGUUCCAUUUUUGGAUUCCGCACUCUAACUUUAUAAGUUUUACUCAUCCAAAACUUUUACACAAUGCUAAGAACCACAACACUUAGACAGAGUUUAAAUUUGGGCAGUGAGUCAUUUACCGUUAUAGAGGUAUGCCCUUUUUUAACUUGGAAAACUUCAAAGCAUGAGCUGCAGGGGCAUUCCUGUCUUCAGACACAUUCUUCCUUUUCAUUUUUUUAAACAAAGUUGUUUAAUGUAAUAGUUAAAGAAAAAUACAAAACAAAAAAUAAACUUUAAAAAAGAAAACUUUUUUAUCAAAACUUAAUUGUGGCUUUCUGUAGUACUUUCUUUUAGCAUUAUAUGUUACUGAUUAUUCCCACUUUUCAUUAAAAGUUGAGUUGGUGGUCAGUUUUAUAAUUAUUCUUUGGUUGGUCAUGUUGGUUAUAACUGUAAUGCCUAUUGAUAAAUAAUAGUUUUCAUCAACUUUUUUGUCAAAUGAUAGAAAUUGUAUAAACAUUGAUAAAGAGGUUGUCUUAAAAUAAUAUAACUUGCCUGAACUUCAUUAAAAAUUAAUACAAGUUGUAAAGAAGUGAUGUAAAAACAUAGAUAAGAAAUAACUCUUACCAACUGAAUGAAAAGUGGGAAUGAAUUCAAUCCAUGAGUGCUGUAUUAUGCAACCUGCAUGCAUUCUGAAAUUAAUGUACAUGUCUGAACACUAAAGCUUACAAUGUAUAGUUGUGUUAUAACUUUUAGCAAGUAUUGAAGUAAACAUUUUUGAUAUUUGGUAUAAUUGACUUGUUAAUGCAUUGUUGAUAGGAAAUAUUUUAUUAUGCCACUCCCUAAUUAUUUAUAUAAGUGGCUUUCAUGUUUGGCACACUGAUUAAUCUUUUUCAUAAUUCAAGAACAGUUAAUUUUGUGUCAGGUCAGAUUAUAAUGACUUAACAUUCGUUUAGCAUGCCACAGUGACAUGCUUUUGUGUAGAUAUAUUGAUACUGCAGCAACAGCAUUAAAUAUUAUAUAGAUAUUUAUUAUUUUAGAAGGUAGAAUAAUUAGCUAUGUAAAGACAAUCUGUAUUUUGAAUGUAGAUAGCCUGUA